rnacentral:lncRNA from 1 species
CAGCUAGACCCUUGUUUUUUGUUAUAUCUGCUCUCUGGAGUCACCUGUUGUGAGCGAAGGGACUUUACGCCUUGCCAGCGUAUUGGAGAACGCUAUGUGUUCCCGGGACUCCAAGCUAAGAAGGGAGGUAUCCCUCUAUAGGGAGACCUUGACUUCGGUUAUCGAACUCACAUUCCUGGGGCCUUGAGCUGGGGCCUACUCUGGGAGAUACGUGCCCGGACAGUCAGGGGUGCAGGGACCUAGGGGUCUCACUAUGUUAUACCCUAUCUUGUAGGUGGCGUGUAGACCAGGAACCCCUACACAGAUUUUGACAGGUUGGGCAUGGAACAGGAUCGUACUACGGGUUAGCGGAUUAUUUCACUCUCUCACUACAGCACGUGAGGACUCUUCGCUGUUAUACAGAUCUCAAUCAACAUUGGAUCCGUACAUCUUCUCACUCUUAGACGACGACAUAUCUGGAUGGAAAUCUCAACUCCGGUUUACAUUUCCCAUCCCUCUGAAUAUUUCUGGGAUUCACUAUACCCAGAAUAGUCGACCACCGUUCCACCACACAAGUUCAGUUUGGACCCUGAUUGGACGUCCCUUGGGGAGUUCCUUCUCUACCGCAGUCGUGGGUUGCACAGUCCAUUUGGAAUACUGGAUUCACUUAGGAUACGGCUAGUUUGACGCACUCUUGCCUGCUUUAUAAAUUUAUUCUCGGAUGAGAAUACCCACCGGGUAGGUCAUGAGGGAACGAAAAGACCCUAAUGAGUUCUAUGACGGAAUUGGUAGUAGGCUUAGACGCAUUACUUGAGGUUGUAGAUUUACCUGUAUGGCCACAUUGCCUGGUAACCCUGGCACGAUCGGUGGAGCCAUCGUCCACAUCAAGAGUCGAGACCUGGUGGCAGUUUCUUCUAACAGCCCUAAGUCCGCAAAUGACCUUCGACAGUUUACACCUACAGGAAAAUGGCUAAUAGGGUCAGUUUGGCAGCUCAUGGACCAUUUGAGAUGCCUCGACAGCUGGCAUCUUCAUCGAUCCGUCUUCUGUCACUUCUCGCAGGGAAGGUCCGUUUAGGAUGACUCUAGUAACUUCCGGAUUAGGUAUCAGCAAAACAAUCAGGGUUGGAUUUGUUGGCUGAGCGUUAAAACAGCAAAUACGAAGCCUCCUGUCAUGUUAUAAAAUUGUAGAUUAUGCUAUCUUUAGUGUACCUAUAAUCUUAAUUUUAUUAAUGACAGGAGGCGAGUAUUUCCCACCCGUUCUUAUCCGUCCCUUGUUUAAUUUUAUAGUUUGGAUUCAUCAGGUAUGUAUGCAACUCUGCUUGUUGUCUCUGCUACCUGUCACUUGUUCUUAUGUCUGUUUUUUCAUAAGUAGGGUUGGGAUAGAUGCAGAUUACAUUAAUUUUGGUUAUUGCAUUGGGUACCUACAUGUUUGUUCAGAGUACAUUUCAUUGGCUAAUCAACCUGUUCAAUUCUGUUUUUCUCUCGUUUCAGUUUACAGUCCAUCAACGCUAUCUGGUUCGGCAGCUCUUUUCGGAUGGACAUACCUAGGACUUUGUUUCUUCCCAUUAUAUUUUCUGCCUUGUGUUCAGUUUUGUCGCAGCUUGAAAGAGGAAAUGAUGCAUGGGGAGGGGAGUUUUAUAGUACCUAACUUUUUUCUGAUUGGUUGUUUUCUGUGCUGCUGUGGAGUUCUAGUAAAGAGAGACUUAAGCAAAUACUCGCCUCCUGUCAUUAAUAAAAUUAAGGUUAUAGGUACACUAAAGCUAGCAUAAUCUACAAUUUUACUAUAUGGCCUAAAGAGGCUUUUGAGCUUCUUAAACAAAUGUUCGUAUCUGCUGACAUAUUAAGACACCCUGACACUAGGAAAUAUUUC